AUGUAUCUGCUAUCAGCGCCUACUGUUUCCCUACCGCUAUGCUCAGCUACAGCAAGAGUUGGCUGCUACAGGAGCACAGCUGCCCCUUUCUCCACAGAAAUGCUUACAGAAGCUGCCCCUGCAGAAAAGGACUUCACGUCUGAACACUGCACAGGCAUCAGUUCUCAAUUUCCCACAGAUACAAUGAAGCAUAGUGACGGGGUAGCCCACACAGGUACCUGA
rnacentral:lncRNA from 1 species